rnacentral:rRNA from 1 species
AGUCGCCGCGGUAAUACGGAGGGAGCUAGCGUUGUUCGGAAUUACUGGGCGUAAAGCGCACGUAGGCGGUUAUUCAAGUCAGAGGUGAAAGCCCGGGGCUCAACCCCGGAACUGCCUUUGAAACUAGAUGACUGGAAUCUUGGAGAGGUCAGUGGAAUUCCGAGUGUAGAGGUGAAAUUCGUAGAUAUUCGGAAGAACACCAGUGGCGAAGGCGACUGACUGGACAAGUAUUGACGCUGAGGUGCGAAAGCGUGGGGAGCAAACAGGAUUAGAUACCCCCGUAGUCCCUGUCUCUUAUACA